UGGGGAAUUUUGCACAAUGGGGGAAACCCUGAUGCAGCGACGCCGCGUGAUUUAGAAGGCCUUCGGGUUGUAAAAAUCUUUUCUAUGGGAAGAAAAUGACAGUACCAUAGGAAUAAGGACCGGCUAAUUACGUGCCAGCAGCCGCGGUAAUACGUAAGGUCCGAGCGUUGUCCGGAAUCAUUGGGCGUAAAGGGUACGUAGGCGGGUAAGCAAGUUAGAAGUGAAAUCCUAUAACUCAACUGUAGUAAGCUUUUAAAACUGCUCAUCUUGAGGUAUGGAAGGGAAAGUGGAAUUCCUGGUGUAGCGGUGAAAUGCGCAGAGAGUAGGAGGAAUACCGGUGGCGAAGGCGACUUUCUGGCCAUAACCUGACGCUGAGGUACGAAAGCGUGGGGAGCAAACAGG
rnacentral:rRNA from 1 species